AUGAAGAAGACCGAUCCCUCCGGGUUACUUAACUUGGAUGACGAUGAUGAUGAUGAUGAUGAGUCGAAGGUAGAACUUGAUUCUCUUGGGUCAUUUUUUGUACAUCUCAUUGACAACAACUAUUAUCAGGAUGAAGAGGAAGCCAGCCGCGUGGGUGAUGAAGAGGUAAUUAUUCUUUCCUCCGGCUCAGAACCUCUACCAAAACAGAAAUCUCGACAAGCAAGCCGUAAAGCAAGGUUUUCUCAUCCAUUAGCUUAUUUGGAUCCCAACUUUAUUUUGAAGAAGCAGCAACAUGAAGCUCGUCGCAAAACCCAGAAUAGCGGAGGCGGGAUUCCUUUCUCUAGCUUACCGAACACACCAGCCCCUCGCAAACAUUGUCCAGAGGUUUCGCCAAUUUCUGACUUAGCUUAUCCCAAGGCGGGUCUUUUUCGACAACCUCUUAAUCCUUCCAACUCAAAUUACCAGGGAUCAUAUCAUUCCUCCUCUAGCGACUGA
rnacentral:rRNA from 1 species